UGUGGGAGCGGGCUUGCUCGCGAAGACGGUGUGUCAGAUACAUCUAUGUCGCCUGACACGCCCCCUUCGCGAGCAAGCCCGCUCCCACA
rnacentral:antisense_RNA from 2 species